CAGAACCUCCCUCUUCCUCAUUUACUCCCUCUUCUUAUUUGUAAUUUGAUUUCUUCUUUGAUCUCUUUCUUUUCCAGCAUAGAACCUCUCUGUUCCUCUUUUGGGAUUUGAUUUUUUCUUCACUUUCUUUCGCAGGCGCAAUUUUCUCAGUCUCAUAUUUCAUUUUUUCUUCAUCUUUAGCAGGUACAAUAACAGAUUUGAAACGCGAACAGGUCGGAUACCAAAAACCGAUAUAGGUUUCAUCAGAUAUUAAAAAAUGAUACAGGCUUCAUCGGAUAUCGACAUCCGAUCGCGUUUCGAGAGACGAUACUUUUUUUUUCUAUUUUUUUUUUAUUUUAUAAAAAUGUUAUGUUUAAAUGUCUUGAGAUUUUAAUUUGAUUUUUG
rnacentral:lncRNA from 1 species